UGAAACGCAGUGAGAAAGAAAGUAGAGUAAUUACAUUUGCCAAAGAGAGUUCCCGUCUGGUGAAAGGGAAUGCAGAUUGAUUAGUUGAAAAUGGCUUUUGAGCGGAUUUCCCGAACGUUUAAGGGAAUACGGAUGCCCCCGUUAGCAAGGCACAGUCUCCGAAAUCUCUAUUUUGGGUACUGAUUGAGGUAAAGUCUGCGAGGAUUUUACGUAUAAAGGUGGUAACGCAUGUUAAAUGCCCUUAGC
rnacentral:ncRNA from 1 species